UACGCAUAAAACCCAAAAUUAUUACUAGUUUAUAAGUGUACUUGAUUCGCAGUUCCUCACCACGAUAAUGAUAGUAAGUUGGGUAUUACUAUAUCGCGAUAGUACACGAUAGUGGUUAAAAUAAUCGUCAAUAGACAUUUUCCGCACGUAAUGAUUGUAAAAAACAUGAUAGUAGAUGACGAGCGUAUUUCAAUAGAAUUUGUGAAUCUAAAUAAUAUAGAAACGUUCGGGAAAGUGCGGCCACUAUAGUAUAAAAUAACGAUAGUAAGAAUGUGCGUCGAUGGUAAUCGGUGAUAGCAGUUUUCUCGAUAGCUUAAGAUAGGUAGUACAAUCAUUUACUUAUACUGUACAAGUUAGGUUAGGUGACGUAUUUGGGGUGGAGGAGAGACAUACCAUCUCCUCAAUUGACCUUUUUUUAGUACCUACCUAUGAUUUAUAUGAUUACUUUAUUUUUAAAUUUACGUUUCUUUAUUUUUUAACAAGAAAAGUAAAAAUAAAUUUGUUGUGGUUAAUAGUUAAUAU